AGUAAUGCUGGUGUGAACAAACCUGCUGCGCGGCCGGCAUGUAAGAGUCUAGCACAGACAGCUGUGUACAGUACAUAGUACUUGAGAAUGAUCAUCAACGAUUAUGGUCCUGGUUUAUGUAUUUGCUACACUGAAAACAAAGGACCAAAGGCCGCUGUAGGCGAUGAUCAUCCCCAAUCACGGCCCUCGACCGGAGCGCACUUCCCCGCAUCUGGAGCCAUCUGCAUCUGUCUCCUUUGCAGUCUGCCGGUAAUUGGGUCUGAAAUCACACGCGUCCCACUCAGCUACAUUUACAUUUCCUUCUUGCGCUGUUUUUAUAUCCAGAGCUGUUGAAACCACUCCCAGGAUGAAUUUCUAAACUUAGACCAUCUCAUCCUCAAACGGCAAGAAAGAAAGUGUGAUGUGUCUGUGAAUCUGCUGAAUGGGCCGAGGGGUGUUUUUAAAAGAUCGCAUUGCGGGGAAGAAGCAGGCACUGCAGAAACCUAUGGACUGGGGUGCUGAAACCCACGAGCUUCCCAGGAAGCUGCCUUUUGGGAGCCUGAGCUAUCCCAGAACCUUUUCCUAGCAGCAGAUCACAAUCACCGUCUCUUCUGUGAGCCCGCUUCAACCCAGCAAUGAAAGGACACUUCUGCACUCCAGCAGUAAGAGUAGGAAACCCCACUCUCCCUACCACAUAAAGGCUACACAUUUGAGAUCCUC